GGAAAAUAAGAAAAGUCGUGGCGCUCGGCUUUGCACGAAAGCAUUUUUUCGAUAUUGUUUUGACAGAAUGUCAACAUAUUUGUGCCAGUUUUGGAAUCGCCAGCAUUUUCUGUUGUGUUGUGGUGUUUUCCGGUAAUAGCGAGAGGUGCCCGUGUGUGAUGAUGUGUGGAGGCACGUAGAGGCAGGUCGAGGCACAUGCGGUGCUCUGGCAUUUUUCUGCGUGAUGUUUCUUCCCUAUGAGUAUUUUUUUAAUUUUUUUUACAGUAUUAUUUCUUUCUAUUUUUCUGUUUUUGUACACAGUUUAGGGAUACAAAAUGGUAUCCAAAAAGUAUAAGGUAAAAAUAUUUGAUGGUAAAACGAGUUUCAGCUUAUGAAAAAUUAGAAUGAGUUCAUUUUUUGUACUACAAGGAUUAUGGAAGGCAGUUGAAGAAAGAUUCCCAUAUGGUAUGAGAAAGACAAAAAGACAGAUAUGCAAGAUAGAACCCUAUGUGUGAUUUUCUUGAGUGUAACUGAUAAUAUUCUACGGAAAAUUAUUGGGGAAG
rnacentral:lncRNA from 1 species